rnacentral:rRNA from 1 species
CAAUAGCGUAUAUUUAAGUUGUUGCAGUUAAAAAGCUCGUAGUUGGAUUUCGGGUGGGACGCAGCGGUCUCGCAUUGCGUUUGUACUGCUGCAGCCCUCCUUCUUGCCGGGGGCGGCCUCUCGGACUUCACUGUCUGGGGGUCAGAAUCGGCGAUGUUACUUUGAGUAAAUUAGAGUGUUCAAAGCAAGCUUACGCUCUGAAUAUAAUAGCAUGGGAUAACACGACAGGACUCUGGCCUAUCGUGUUGGUCUAUAGGACCAGAGUAAUGAUUAAGAGGGACAGUCGGGGACAUUCGUAUUCCGUUGUCAGAGGUGAAAUUCUUGGAUUUACGGAAGACGAACAUCUGCGAAAGCAUUUGCCAAGGAUGUUUNCAUUG